UAGAAGUAAGGACUGCUGGACGA
rnacentral:misc_RNA from 1 species